CGACUGCUAUCGGGGUGGGGCUAAGCCAUGCGAGUCGUGCGCCUCCCGGAUGAGGGAGGAGCGGCGCACGGCUCAGUAACACGUGGCCAACCUACCCCGCGGACGGGGAUAACCUCGGGAAACUGAGGCUAAUCCCCGAUAGGGGAAGGGUGCUGGAAGGCCUCUUCCCCGAGAGGCCGUGAGGGAGACCUCUCACGGCGCCGCGGGAUGGGGCUGCGGCCGAUCAGGUAGUUGGCGGGGUAACGGCCCGCCAAGCCUGAGACCGGUACGGGCCCUGAGAGGGGGAGCCCGGAGAUGGGCCCUGAAACAAGGGCCCAGGCCCUACGGGGCGCAGCAGGCGCCAAACCUCCGCUAUGCGCGAAAGCGCGACGGGGUCACCCCCAAUUGCCGCCCGCAAAGGGCGGCUUUUCCCCGGUCCAAAAGGCUGGGGGUAAUAAGGGGAGGGCAAGCUUGGUGUCAGCCGCCGCGGUAAUACCAACUCCCCGAGUGGUCGGGACGAUUACUGGGCUUAAAGCGCCCGUAGCCGGCCCGACAAGUCCCCCGUUAAAUCCGGCGUUCCAAGCGCCGGGCUGCGGGGGAUACUGUCGGGCUAGGGAGCGGGAGAGGCCGGCGGUACUCCCGGGGGAGGGGUAAAAUCCUUAGAUCCCGGGAGGACCACCAGUGGCGAAGGCGGCCGGCCAGAACGCGUCCGACGGUGAGGGGCGAAAGCUGGGGGAGCGAUCCGGAUUAGAUACCCGGGUAGUCCCAGCUGUAAACGAUGCAGGCUAGGUGUGGGGGCGGCUACCGGCUGCCCCUGUGCCGUAGGGAAACCGUUAAGCCUGCCGCCUGGGGAGUACGGCCGCAAGGCUGAAACUUAAAGGAAUUGGCGGGGGAGCACCACAAGGGGUGAAGCCUGCGGUUUAAUUGGAGUCAACGCCCGGAACCUUACCGGGGGAGACAGCAGGAUGAAGGCCGGGCUGAAGACCCUGCCAGACGAGCUGAGAGGUGGUGCAUGGCCGUCGCCGGUUCGUACCGUGAGGCGUCCUGUUAAGUCAGGCAACGAACGAGACCCGCGCCGCCAGUUGCUCGAGGCCUCUUCGGGGGCCUCUAGGAAACUGGCGGGACUGCCGCCGCAAGGCGGAGGAAGGAGCGGGCUACGGCAGGUCAGUAUGCCCCGAAUCCCCCGGGCCACACGCGGGCUGCAAUGGCGCGGACAAUGGGAGCCGACCCCGAAAGGGGGAGGUAAUCCCGAAACCGCGCCUCAGUUGGGAUCGAGGGCUGCAACCCGCCCUCGUGAACCUGGAAUCCCUAGUAACCGCGCGUCAUCAUCGCGCGGUGAAUACGUCCCCGCUCCUUGCACACACCGCCCGUCGCUUCACCCGAGCUGGGGUUGAUCGAGGCCCGGCCCCGUUGGUCGGGUCGAGAUCGACCCCGGUGAGGGGG
rnacentral:rRNA from 1 species